rnacentral:lncRNA from 1 species
CUUUUCCGGCUUACAGAUUGGCAGGCUCCGUUAAAGCCCGGCCGAAAAAGUGAAAGCGAACCGAAAUGUGCGUUUUGGAAUAUCCAGUCGAAACAUUCGGAUAAGAAUGGACGGAAUCUUUAUAUUAAAACGCCAAAUGCCCCGCGGGGUAGACCGCCAUAAGAAUGUACGGGGCGAUGGAAUUUCGGCUGUACAAGCCGGGCCACCGGCUUAACUACGAAGUGCUUCCGCGGUAAAAGAUUCACCAGUCCAGUCGACACACAUUUAUUUCGACAAGUUCUUUUAAUAAGCGCGGUUGCUUUUCCGCGUCGUACAACUUUUACCGACAGAAAAUGGGCCGUUCCGAUGGGCGGCUGGCAGUCCCACCGCCCCCAAACUCCGGCCCAGCUGGGCGCCGGGAGUCGAAAGGGGCUGGCGAGUAGCUAGGUGGGGCCAGCCUCGGCCGUUUGCCCAGACCACACUCGGGUGGUAGACCGUACCAAAAGAUUUAAUACUGGCGGGUAGCGGCGGCUAGUCCGCCGCUGGGACUAGCUAGCUAGGAAAUUUCCGGCUAACCUAGACUACGCUAUAAAAGCCGCGGCUCCCCCCUUCCCCUCGGCCGCUGGGAAAGUGGAGGGGGCCGGGCCGCCCGUUUCGGUUACCUAGGUAAGGCUGGGCGGGGCGCGGUGCCGGACCGACCGCCCACCCAGCCCGUCUCCGGACCGGUUUUCCCGCGGGCCGUAGCCUAGGCGCCGGACUACUUGAGCCAAGUCGAAUGACGUCCCUGAGAAGGAAUUAACCUUUCAGCUAAGGUGUUGAGUUUUCCCCAGGCGGCCGCCAUGGGGGCAUAAAUCCAAGUCGGCGUAAAAUAACCCGGUUACUGGUCGGGCCUAUCUUGUUUUUCCGGAAAUCUAUCACAGACAGCGGCCAAAAUGGCCCGAAAGCGCUCCACCCCAGAAACGAACGCGUCUAAAAGAAAGGCCGACCCGGUGGUCGGGUCUUUAUUGCCGGAGUUCUCCACCGGCACCGGGCCGCUCCGCCCUACUACUUUGUACUUUGGUGACUUUUACUCCCGAAAUCUAGGGCGGGCGGAAAAUUCGGCCGGGUCGAUGUUUCCGCCCGCCCAUAAAACGGCCGACUGGUAGGCGCGUCCGUUGAUUGUCGUGGCCGAAAACCGAGCUAGGGCUGGGGGCCGAAACUUAACGGCGGUUGGACUCCGUCUCCACCCUAGGAUUAUUAA